UGGAGAGGUCGCAUAGUCCGGUCUAGUGCGCACGAUUGGAAGUCGUGUGUAGCCGCAAGGUUACCGGGGGUUCAAAUCCCCCCCUCUCCGU
rnacentral:tRNA from 1 species